rnacentral:lncRNA from 1 species
CUUGUAAAGAAUAUAAGCCACUAUAGUAAACUGCAUGGAAAUUCCUUAGUGAUGUGGAAAAAGCCUGUCACUAUGUCAAGACCUCAAAAGUCACUGCUGAAAACAUGCAUAUCAUGAAUUUAUAGGCAGAAGAAUUGGCCACAUUUUAUGCCUUAGUCCUCAGGUAGUGGAGCAUGGCUACAUGGUAAUGAGAGUAGGUGGGUAAAAAGAAGAUGCUGGCAUCAUUUUGUAAAUUAGAGGAAUUCCGAGUGCUUACCUUUAGAAACCAAGGUAUUAGACGCAAAAGAGAAGAUGAUAAAGUUCAGCAUGUUGAUAAAAAAUGCUUAUGUUCUAGCAAGGUCAAGUUAGAGAUGGGGAAUGCAAUUAGAUAUCAAACAAAAACAAAACAAAAUACAAUUUUUAUUCUCCUUGUUGCUAUGGCAGUGCAUGGCAUUGUAUUAGAACUUGUAUUAUGAAUCUUACCUAUAUUACAUAUCUAUAUCACCUUCAUAUAAAUCAUUUAAAUUUUUCCAGAUUACAUGUGAAUACAAUUUAUAACAAUCAUUCCUUGACAUUUUGUGAUCCAUGUUCUUUCCUCCCUCCUCCUUUUCAACCCUUCACAACAAAACAGUUAAUAUGUUGUAGACUAUAUAUGUGUUUUCAUAUAAUACACAUUUCCAGGUUUCAUGUUGUGAAAGAAGAAACAUAUGGCUUACGCUAGAGAAAAUACAUGGAGGAAAUAAAAUGAAGAAUGCCAUGCUUCAAUCUGCAUUCAGACUCUGUCAGUUUCUGCCAUGGCAGUGGAGAGCCUUCUUUCAUCAUGAGUCCCGUACAGUUGUCCCAGAUUGUUGCAUUUAUGAUAAUACAUUUGAAAAGAAAAGACCAGACCUGAACAGAAAAUUUGAUGCCCAAGCACAGAACUCAAGAGAAUCAUCAAAAGUCAUACUUAUGUCCUCUCCUGAACAUAGACUCCUCUCCAUCAACUCUAAAUUUUUCCUGUUAAAAAUAUGAAGCUUUGAGAAGACUUAAAUGAGCUGAUGCAAAGUGAAAUAUCAUGAUUGCAACUCCUGCCUUCUUUGUAUCAGUUGAGGCCCAGAAGGUCUUACUCCAUCCUUUAAUGCUGACCUUGUGGGUGUCUACCCACCUCAUGUGUGUUUCUUGAAGACAACAUAUGGUAGGGUUUUGGAUUCUAACCCAUUGUGCGAUUCAUCGACGUUUUAUGGGUGAGUUCAUCCCAUUCAUGUUCAAAGUUAUGAUUGUGACUUGUGAAUUCUCUGGCAUUUUGAUAUCCUUCCCUAAUUCUAACCUUUCUUCUUUAGCUCUAACCUUUUAAUCCUGUGAUUUACUUUAAAUCAGUCCCCCUUGUCCCCUCCCUUGAUAUGUUUCCCUUUCU